rnacentral:tRNA from 1 species
GUAUAGCUCAGUGGCAGAGCACAUGCUUAGCAAGCAUGAGGUCCUGGGUUCAUUCCCUACUAC